AAUUUUAUGAUAUAUAUAUAUGUACUCAACUGUCUGGAAGUGUUUGAAAUAUAAGAGAAAUAUUUAGCUUACCUAUUUUAGUUUGUGAUGAAAUCUGAAAAAAAAAUAUUUGAACCACUCUGAAAUCCUGUUCCUAUGUUUUGUCAGUACUUUUGAUUUAUGAAGUGCUCUCAAUAGGGCCUAUAUUUACUUUGUUAAGGGGUAAAGUACAAUGUUACAUAAACCAUAUUGCAACUUUUCUAAACCACUUGGCCACCCUUACUUAAUCCACAAGGUUACUGCCAGCAUUUAUUCCAUAGGCUUAUUCUCUUAUGGGCAAUUGUAAUAUCGAAAUAUUUGAGGAUUAUAACAAGCAUAGUUGAAGUUUGGUAAAUCAAAGUGAAAGAGACUUGCGUAAGAAUUUCCGGGGCAUCUGGACUUGUGUAUCGGUCUUAAUUAAAUGACCAGAAUUCAAGCUGUCGAAGUUUGCAAGUGACUUUUUGAAAGGCAUAACUAUUGGAAAGGGCAAUAACUUAACCAGCUUAUACAUAUUUUUGCACAUAGGAAUGCAUACAAAGUCUGUUAGAUGUAAUUAACAUGCAUGUUUAAUUGGUAAUCAUUUGGACUCUAGAAAAGGUUUAAAAAAAUCUUUCUUUCUGGGGAUUAAGUGUCAUGUAAAUCAAAGGUUUUGUCUUGUUAAGGGUAAAACGUUCUUGAUUAAUUCUUUAUGGACUGUGUAAAAACUUGGACUCAUUGGAAAAAAACACCUCAAAAUUUCAAGUGGUAAGGUUAAAAAAUAUAUAAAGGGGGGGGGGGGAAUCAGGACUUUUCAUUUUAUAUAUCGAGAAAAUCAAUCGGCUGGCUAAUAGAAAGAAGUUCUACUGUUAUUACACAGGUUAUAUAAGCAGAAAGAAGUUUUACUGUUUUUACACAGGUUAUGUUAACUAAGAAAUGAUGAACAAACAAAGACAAGCAUAUGACUGAUAAACAGUGCUGAUAUGUUGUUCUGAUCCUAAACAUAAAUGAUAUACAGUAAAAGAAACUCAAAUUAUUGAAGGGAUGUUGCUAACAAAGGUCAGUUCCACCCAACAAACCUGCCUGCUCCUGAAAAGUAGUGUUAUAAUACUAUAUAAAAUCAUUCUGGAAACAUUUAAAUAAUAAUUACCUACUUCACAACUGGAGGUUAAAACUUUGUGAAGUAGAUAAUUAAUAUAGGCAUCACCAAGAAGAACCUUUGUUAAUUUUUCUAAAUAAAACUUAGGAACCCUUUUAAAGAACUUAAAUGUGUCUAAUAACCAGGUUUCCUGAAAGACUGGAGUGGUUAAAAUCAGAUUCAAGCUUUCAUCACAAAUGACAAGAAGACAGUGUUCGAAAUUAGCAGUAGUCCUAUAGUCCCAGACUACUAAAUUUCUCCUCGGGCUACCAACUUUUCACAGUAACAAGCCCGACCAGACUACUGCAUUUUCAGAGGCAAUAUAAACAACUGUUUUGAACAAAUGAAUAAUGCUAGUGAAAUGUUUUUUGGGCUAGUGUAUAUUCCAAUCUGGUAGUCUGACCAGCCUAGUUGAUUCAAAUCCUAAUUUCUUACACUGAGAAGAGCAAAAUAUUUUUGAACUAACAAUAUCCUUAAUAGUUUUAUGAAAUAACAAAAUGAACUGAUGAACAUUUGAAGACAAGCAUAUAACUGAUAAACAUUGCUGAUGAUUUGUUCUGAUCAUUUUGACGUGAAUUAAGUAAUAAUCUGUAAAUUUUCUUUUUCCAUUUUGUAAGUAGAAAUAUUUGGAAAAUUGAUAUGAUGAACAUAUAUAGACAAGCAUAUAACUGAUAAACAUUGCUGAUGAUUUGUUCUGAUCAUU